AGGGCCAGAAGGUUACCAAAGCAGGGCAAUAUUUGCCAAGGCAACAGGUCUGCUGCUCAAGGCUGGCGCAGGGCACGGCUGUGGCAGCCAGCUGCCUUCCCUCGCUGCACUGCUGGAGCAGUUUGGAAACAGGAAACGAGAGGAGAGAACUGUGCCCUGGAAGUUGCCAUGGAGUGUAAGUUCUACCUUCAGGUUUUGAUUGAUGCUGUACCUGUGGCUGUGGGUGUGAGUACGUGUCUCUAUUAAUACCCAGUCUAGGCUAACCUGUGCAUAAUGGCAGAAAAUUAAACCUUUGUCGUUGCUCACGGAAAUUAGACCUCAGAGAUUCACAAGGGAAAGGCUUCUUGCUAUAUGUUAAAUCCAACAUAUUGGCUAUAGCUGUAUAUAGCCUGUUUUUAGUGUAUUUGCAGCUGAAAAACUUACUCAGAAGCCUGUUGAAGCAAAAAAUAUAAAUCUAAAAUAAAACCAACACCCUGGCAGAGCUAAUUCAUAAAGAUUUAAAUAAAAAGCAAUUACAGAACUUCCCGCCUACCUCCACCUCAUCUUUAGCUGAACUCCUUGUUUGUCAGGAAUGAUUCCAUUUUUUAUGUUCUCAAGCAGGAAACAGCCAUCACAACACUCCAGCUAAUUUCCCUCGCUAGUCACAUGGAGCUGGUGAAAGUAAAAGAGGGUGCUUUAGUUUUCCACUCCACAGCCUAAGAAAAAGGAGGAUAGAGUUAGGAAGAGAGCCAGCAAGAACUUCCUCUGGAGCCUAGACACCAAAGAUCUACUCCAAGUGGCAGUGACACUUGGGUCCUUGGAGAAAAGUCAAGCCUAGACACAAUUUCUAACGUGAUGAUGGCUCCCUCUCCUUCCUCCCGAUCAUUCAGUCUCCAUCACUGAGCUCCCUUGGUUUUCCUGUCCUAUCUGUCACCUUUCCGUGCUUUAUUUCCCAUUCCCUGUUCUGCAUCUGUCCCACAGUACACUGAUUUACUCCUUUUUGCCACCAAAAGGAAAACCCCAUCAAAUCCCCAUAACUUACAGCACAGCUCUGAUGGGACAGGGAAUGUUAAAUUUACAUUGCCCCCUCCCGUGUUUUCCUCCAGCAUACCUUUCAUUGUGGAGUUUUGUUCAGUUGUUCCUGGCUUUUUAAUCCUGGUGAGUUUUGCUUCAGCUGGAACUCCUCGUUCUCUCCUUGCCUCACAGCUGGCUCUGAGCCACAACAAGGUGGUUCUCCUCCACUUCUGAGCCCCCCACGCCUGUGUUUGGCUGCAGGAGCCGCUUCCCAGCUUGUCUGCACACCCAACACUUCAUCAAGUCUGCAGCACUCAGGGCCUGAAGAGCUGAAAUCCUGAAGCAGUAAGAGCCAGAAUCUUAGAAACAAGUUAUUGCUGUUGUUUUGGGCAAAAUCAAGUCCCUGUCACCCACUUGGGGGGAAAAACAAGCAAGUGCAGUUCAAAGUGGAGGUCACAAUGUAAAGUUUGCUUUCUUCUCCAUAGCUACACUUUAUUUUCGCUGAUGGAGAUACAUUGGAUUGUUAUGGCAGUCAUUUUACAAUGACUGAAUACAAUACACUUUUAAAAUAAAACUGUUUGCUGAA